rnacentral:misc_RNA from 1 species
GAUGAAGAACGCAGCGAAAUGCGAUAAGUAAUGUGAAUUGCAGAAUCCAGUGAAUCAUCGAAUCUUUGAACGCACAUUGCGCCCGCCAGCAUUCUGGCGGGCAUGCCUGUUCGAGCGUCAUUUCAACCCUCGACCUCCCCUUGGGGAGGUCGGCGUUGGGGACCGGCAGCACACCGCCGGCCCUGAAAUGGAGUGGCGGCCCGUCUGCGGCGACCUCUGCGUAGUAAUACAGCUCGCACCGGAACCCCGACGCGGCCACGCCGUAAAACCCCCAACUUCUGAACGUUGACCUCGAAUCAGGUAGGACUACCCGCUGAACUUAAGCAUAUCAAUAAGCGGAGGA